rnacentral:lncRNA from 1 species
UGAAAAAAUGUGCUGGAACCAGGAUUUGAAUCCUAACCAUCUAGCUCCAGAGACCAUGCUUGUUUCCCACCACAAUAAGCAACAAGCUCAGUUCCCUGCUCUCACCCAUUUGUUUCAGGUGGUUGUGAUAUAAGCAGACUCUACUGUAGGGGUGAGCUAUGGGCAAGGCUGCUGUAGAGCUGACUUAUGAAGAUGAAGCAAACAUGGACAAAGAUGUGCCAAGUAUAAGCAUGAGCCAAUGCAUCACUGUCUUUCUUGAAGAAAAAUUUGUUGUUGGACAAUUAGGAUGUACUUGGAGGUAUCCUUGUUGCCAAGAUGCCAGAGAGGAUGUACUUGGGGCUGCUCUGUCUAGAGUGCUGCAAGAGUCCCUGGUGGCCACCUGCUUGAGAACAUCUGAACAACAACUCCCACCAACAUUCUGCUUGGAUUCCUGAAACAGAAAUGGAAACUUCUGAACAGUGUGUUCAUUACUGCUGACCUUGUUAUGCUCUACACUUGGGAUUUGCCUCCCUCUGACUAUAAAGUAGGUCAAUUAACUCUGCCAUACUUCUCAUCUUGUCAUGUUAUGGUAGCAAUAAUAAUUUAAGGUCUGCAAUGAAUUCAGUUAUAGUUGUCUUUUUAUAUUAUGUGUUUUCUCCACUCCUAUCUUUUUCCCAGUUUUGCUUUCCCUCCAAACUUAUUUUACUAUGCCCCCUAUGAUUAACAAAUAGCCCAUUAUAAAUAAAUACAUCUGUUUUCUUAGUUCUCCUCUUUUC